GGGGCGUGGCUUGCGAGAGGCUCCUCCCCCUCCAAAGCCUUUUCCUUCUCCGCUUCUCUCUCUCGCCUUCCGCGCAGGAAGGACCAGGGACGGUGUUACCAUGGCAACCGAAAAGGAGCCCUUUUCCGGGAUGCCUUCGCUCCAUUUCCGCUCGAAGUUUCUGGAGUAGAACAACUCCGCUCCAACUGCUGUUCGCCGCCGUUGUCUUGGCUCUUUGUGCCAUUCCAUGACGUGGACCUUCUUGUGACGACUUCACCCUUUGGACCUGGGACUGGAACUCAACUCGGCUUAUCUCUUCGCUCCCAAACUCGGCUUGGUGUCGUUCCCGUCUCUGUGGCUGUCUACUGUUGCUGACUACUGGCUUUGUUUCCGACCCUGACGCGUUCUUCUUAUCCCGACUUCGGACCGGCUUGACUACGUUACAGCGUUCUGCUCCUUUAAUUCCUGGCUCGGCGUUUGUCUCUGCAGCGGUUUGCCGCUAACUCUACAGCGUCUUCCAGUUUCGCUUGUUUUUGCCACUCACAGCAAAGAGCUUUUUAGCCCGGUUUGGGUUUUUGUUUCAGUUUGGAAUCGCUGUUGUACUUCUGGGUUUUGGGAAAGUUUUUGGGGCUUCAUAACUGUUUGCCUUUGUUUGUUUUGCCAUUUUAAGCCCAUUUUGAGCUUUUGGGUUGAGUUCAAGUACCUUAUGUUAAAUCCGGAUUAUAUCUCUGGUAAUCCGGAUUAUAUGCCAAUUAAUGCUUUUGGCGGUUUUCCUGCUUUGACUGCCUGAUAACACUGUAGAUAAGUGUUUCUAGUCUCUGUUAAUUUACUGAACUAUUUUUGGACUAUUACUUUAAUAAACUAUAUUUUGGCUCUCA